rnacentral:rRNA from 1 species
UGGGGAAUAUUGGACAAUGGGGGCAACCCUGAUCCAGCCAUGCCGCGUGUGUGAAGAAGGCCUUUUGGUUGUAAAGCACUUUAAGCAGGGAGGAGAGGCUAAUGGUUAAUACCCAUUAGAUUAGACGUUACCUGCAGAAUAAGCACCGGCUAACUCUGUGCCAGCAGCCGCGGUAAUACAGAGGGUGCGAGCGUUAAUCGGAAUUACUGGGCGUAAAGCGAGUGUAGGUGGCUCAUUAAGUCACAUGUGAAAUCCCCGGGCUUAACCUGGGAACUGCAUGUGAUACUGGUGGUGCUAGAAUAUGUGAGAGGGAAGUAGAAUUCCAGGUGUAGCGGUGAAAUGCGUAGAGAUCUGGAGGAAUACCGAUGGCGAAGGCAGCUUCCUGGCAUAAUAUUGACACUGAGAUUCGAAAGCGUGGGUAGCAAACAGGAUUAGAUACCCUGGUAGUCCACGCCGUAAACGAUGUCUACUAGCCGUUGGGGUCCUUGAGACUUUAGUGGCGCAGUUAACGCGAUAAGUAGACCGCCUGGGGGAGUACGG